ACAAAAUAAACCAAAUAAAUAAUACAAAAUAUGACCAUAAUAUCAAACCUUGCACGAUUAUUUGAUAAUGUGAUGGUUUAUUUGAAAUCUACAUAUACAUUUUUGCAGCCACUUUGUGAAAUAAAUCUUCAAGUUGAGACUUAUUUACAGUGGCUGCCACCGGCAUUUAAUAAUUGUUUUUGAUAAUUAGAAAGUAAAUCUUCGAAUUAAAUAUUUGCAUUUAACUACCUUUCCAAAAUCUCUCUGCAUUAACUAUACGAUUAAUUACUAAAAUAAAAUUUCCAAAAUAUUUAAUAUCAUUUAAAUACUACAAAAUUAUCAUUUUUGAUAUUGCUUUUUUUUUAUGACUAUAACAAUUCGAUUAUAAGCAGCAAACCGUAAAGAUAUUUGAUAGCAAUUAAUUACUACAAAAUUAUAAAAUAUUUAGACAAUGAUUCAUAAACAUAUCAUAAAUAAGAUCAACAUUAAUAAAAUAAAUAGUUUUUUUUACGAGACGGGUUGGCGGGACGGGUUUGGCAGGAAGCUACUUAAUAACAAUUGUAAACUAUAAAAUAAAAAUAUUUUAUAGAUAGAUAAAAUUUGUAAACUUUUAUAUAUACUAACUUUAAGGAAAUAAAUUGUCUCCGCGGUAUACCGCGGGUUAAAAUCUAGUUAAUUAGUGUUAUCGACUCAUGAUUAAAUAUAUAGAAUUGAUAUAAACUGAACAAGAUUUCAAAAGUAUUCAUAUGAAAAGAAUUAAAAAAAAAAGCAUAAAUUAAAGCAGUAUUUAAGUCAAUACUUUUAGAUCUUCUCUCAUUGCAUAUAUCAAUAUAAGAGAAAUGAUCGUGUAUUAAAUUAUUUGGUAAGUCUAACGUUUUAAAGGUUUAUUAUUUGAAAAAACUUGAGUGUCAAUGUUAUCAAAGACUCAAAAUAAAAUUACUAAACUAAUAAGAGGUUAGGUAACGAACAAGUACAACACAAAAAAAUUAGUAAAAUAAAAAGAGUAUAAUAAAAGUAGUGCUUAAUUUAUUAACAUAAUUUUUUAUUUUAUUUUUAUCUUGAAAAAAUCAAUUAAGAGUAGGAUUGAUGAUACAUUUAAUUUGCUUAUUUAAUAUGAUUAAUAUUUU
rnacentral:sRNA from 1 species